GCUGGGGCAGCGUGGGCCAUCCUGCUCCUGGUUUUGGUUUUGUGAUGUAGACCGAGACGCUGCUUUUGGCUGCCUCUGCCUUUCUGGGGCUGUUUAAGCCGCAGGUUUCCCUCUGCAGAAACCCAGUUUUAUUCAGCGCCAACCGUGGGAUGAGCGCCCUUUUGGCAGAGCGUGCAGCUCCUUGCAGCCAUUUUACGAGCAGUUCGGGUCUCAAUAGUGCUUGUAUCAGAGCAAGUAAAACUUAAAAGUAAGCUGGGCCUGGACAGCUGAGUCCCAGUGUAUACUGGCAACUGAGCACACCAGCAUAAACUCAGUGAAGAGAAAAUUCAACAAAAAGGCAGCAUUGUGUGUUGGGCUGGCCCAGGACUGUGCAGUGGAGUCCAGGUGCUGAGCUGAACAGGAAGCAGGGCCUCACCUUUGCACGGUCCCUGGCAGAUUUGCUGUGCACUGCUAGUGAGUAAUGUCAGUUCCUGUUGGAAACAGAGGUGGGCAGUUAAAAAGAUUCAGCAGAGUCUGAGGACAGGAACAGGGAAUUGCCCUCCUAGCUGAAUGGUUAGGCUCUGCAGUCUCCUUUAGGAGAGUGCAGUCAACUCCUGAGACUUUCCCAGAGUUUUUUAUGGAGAUUUAUCUGGAGGACUAAGAAAGUGGAGCCAGUGGCAUUAUAUUGACUCCACUGAUACUAUCCUCCUAAAUUAAAUGGUGGAAGAACAAGGCCUGCCUGUGAGAUAAAGUCAGGGCCUACUUCAUCUACCUACAAAGUUUUAAUAGCAGUGAGAGGGAUCAAGCUAAAAGUCAUGUGUUUCUGUAGAAAAUGGUGGGGGUCUUCGGUUUGAAUCAAACACACUAAACCAUAUUUCAGGACUGUUGUGUUUUCUCUUGUAUUUUUGCUUUUGAAGUUGUCUCGUGUGUUUUUGUUCAUAGGCCCAUGGGUCCCUUUGUUCCCAGCUCCAGCACUGGGUGAGGAGGGACACUUGACGUGCCUGAGGAUUAUGGUAACCAGUUUGAAAACUCUGUCUUCGGCCUUGGAUGGUUGGUGUAAACUCUGAGAACUGGUGCAGCUUUGUGAAAGGGCUUCACAUGAUGCCCUCCAGUGGCAACAACAUGUACAGAUAGUUCUGUUGCUGCCUUACCUGUCCUGUACCAUGCCUGGUAGUGACCACUGGAGUCUUUCUGUUGAGCAGGCUAGUCAGCCAUCAGGCCUGCAUUCUCCAACAGAUUCAUCGAGCUGGGAACAUAAUAGAACUGUUUGGUACUUGUAGAGUCCCACUGCAAGGGUGUCCUUGCACAGUCCUGCCAGAGGGUUGGGAAAUUCUGGGGAUUCCCAGUUCAUUUCACCAGUUGAAAAGUAUGUUGGAUUGGGUUUUAGGUGAAAGACUAAUCCUGGUGCCAGGAUACAGCUAUGGUUUAAACACUUGAGGUGAAAGCUGGUUGUGGGGAGCACAAUGGUGGGUUCACUGGCAGCCUUUGUGUCUUAAAGGCUUUAUUGGGAGAUUCAGACGUCCUCACACCUCUACUCGGAUAGCUGUGUUUUACACUCUUUCAGUUAUCUCCUUGAAGAGUGGGGCUCUCAAUUUCUGGCAGAUACAGGUAAAACAUGUUGCAGUGGAUGGAAUUUGGACACAGAAUCAAGGUGUACAUUUUUAAGCAAAGAAUGGUGCUUUCUCUCCACUACAUUUCCCAGCACAGGAGCUACUUUCUCUGGUAUAGCUGUGCCAGGAUCACCGGGGUGCAUGGCCACCUCCUGCCCUCUGCACUGGCAGUGGUUGCUGGCUGAGUUACCUGUUUGUGGUUGAACGCAGGUUCCUUUGCUCACUGCCAGACAUAGCAACUGAAAGUCUCUGGCCCGCUUAGAGGGAAUCUCACAGGGUGACCCAAACAACCCUUUCUGCCCUGGAAAUGGCUGAAUUCUGGGUAGGCUGAGAAAUGAGACUGAACUUGCAUAGCUCAGUGUUGCUAAACCCAUCUUUUGAGGCUUGCAAAAUAAAUAGAAAUCCAAGAGCAGAUGGUCCUAAUCACUGCUGUAGUGAGGUAUUCUAGUCCUGGUUUUAUGGUUUCUGAAGGCCUGAAGCUAUUUGGGAGAGAACAGACAAGCUUUUGAUACACAGUUCUAUGUCAAAUCUCUUAGUUUUGCCAGCGGCAUUUAUUCGUAGAGACCCUGUAUAUUGAAGAGGCCCCUGCCUGUUCCUGGCUAUCCCCUAGAAUGGAAACUUGAAUCAGUGAAUUUUGUAAUGAACAUGCAAUAAAUCUGUGGAAAAGC